CAGGGGGGGAAAAAUACAGUGUCAUUGCUUUGAUGGUUAAACCAUGCUAUGACAAUGUGUUGGCAGUCCUCUUGUUCUUGAGCUUCCUGACCACAUGGACAGCUUCCUGUUAUCUUAGCUUUGGGCUUCAAGCAAGCGGAGAAUUGCAUUUCCUCUCAGACCAACCACUAGAAGGUACUUAGCAUGGAAAAUAAAGAGAUGACAGCCCAUGACAUCCUUUCUGAACCUGCGUGUCGACUUCUGGUCUGUUUGCACAAUUCCGUGCAAGAUUCCCUGAAUCUUGAUGGUGAAAGUCUACUUUCAUUGUUCGAAACUAACAGGAAAAAAACCUCACGAAACAUACUCUGGUACAUUGGAAUGAUGGACUUGAUGCCAGAUGUCAUGGAUGAAGCCAGGUCACUACUAUUCGCCAGUGACCUGUGUCAACUUGAACAAAAUGCAUAACCUCUCUGGUCCUUUAUUGAUAAGUAAUACCUAAUUCAGAAGGCUGCUGUGAAGAUUUAAGUUCAAGAAGAAACUAUAAGUUACUCUAUAUACAUAAGGCUUUUUUUUUUCCUAUUCAAAUUUCAAGAGAAAGUAAUUGAGUUGUUGGCUUUCCCCAGCCUGUGUCUACAUGAGAGUGAGACUGUUUUGACAAGAAAUUAGUGGGAACAGAUACUUGGCAUAUACUCUUCUUGUUACCAGAUCUAGUCACAUCAGGAUAAUGCUUAAUCUAAAUGCUUGCUUCAAAGCAGUUGGUUUUGCCAGAGUGGAGAAAUUUCUAGUGGAAAUAUUUAGAGACAAAUUAGAUCAACUCCAGGCACUCAAUUAUGUUACUCUUGUAUCUGUGAU